AUGGACGGCCACCGUUGCUUCGCGCCAACGGCUGGGAGUUUAAACUUGACUGAAUACGCUGCAGUUCAUCAGUUGGGUCCUGACAACUCCCCUCCAUCCACUUCAGACCUGUCCUCAGGGCUGAAAAGCUGGAAAAACCUUUUGUAUGAAUGUUGCGUCCUCCCACGUAGCAUCUUUCUCGUCCAUGUUACACCAUUUGAUGAGCCAACGCACCACUGGUAUUUGUAUGUCACCUUGAGUCCGAGGGACAAGCUUUCUUUCAAGCAGCUUCUCCGGUUCCAGGAGAAUAGUACCAUCAGCGUUGAUGAGUGGUAG
rnacentral:rRNA from 1 species